rnacentral:rRNA from 2 species
UGCAGUCGAGCGGAAGGCCCUUCGGGGUACUCGAGCGGCGAACGGGUGAGUAACACGUGAGCAACCUGCCCCAGGCUUUGGGAUAACCCCGGGAAACCGGGGCUAAUACCGAAUAUGACCUCUGACCGCAUGGUUGGUGGUGGAAAGUUUUUCGGCUUGGGAUGGGCUCGCGGCCUAUCAGCUUGUUGGUGGGGUGAUGGCCUACCAAGGCGACGACGGGUAGCCGGCCUGAGAGGGCGACCGGCCACACUGGGACUGAGACACGGCCCAGACUCCUACGGGAGGCAGCAGUGGGGAAUAUUGCACAAUGGGCGGAAGCCUGAUGCAGCGACGCCGCGUGAGGGAUGACGGCCUUCGGGUUGUAAACCUCUUUCAGCAGGGACGAAGCGUAAGUGACGGUACCUGCAGAAGAAGCGCCGGCCAACUACGUGCCAGCAGCCGCGGUAAGACGUAGGGCGCGAGCGUUGUCCGGAUUUAUUGGGCGUAAAGAGCUCGUAGGCGGCUUGUCGCGUCGACCGUGAAAACUUGGGGCUCAACCCCAAGCCUGCGGUCGAUACGGGCAGGCUAGAGUUCGGUAGGGGAGACUGGAAUUCCUGGUGUAGCGGUGAAAUGCGCAGAUAUCAGGAGGAACACCGGUGGCGAAGGCGGGUCUCUGGGCCGAUACUGACGCUGAGGAGCGAAAGCGU